UGCACACCAGCGCCUCAGCCCAGGUCAGGGGCGGCCCAGCGAUUGCCAGGGGGCUCCAGUUAGCCAGCUCCACCCGAGGUCCCUGUGGGUCCCAGGACGGGAGGUCCCCGCUGUCCUGGGGAGGGCCCCGGGAGGACUGCACUGGGGACACUGCCCGUGUCUGGUCCUCGAGCACCCUCUAGAGGACAGCCUGGGAAAAGCGAACUCGCCUCCCCAGGGCAGAGAAGACCCUGGUCGACUCCUAGCUCCUCAGGGUCGGUGGCCCAGGUGUCAGCAGCAGAGGGGACCUAAAGACCCCCCGCUGCCUGGCAGACGGGUCCCCAGCCAGACAGCCCAUCGGCGAGCCCCUGCCAGCUGCCCAGCUCCCCCCAGGCCGGCCUGUCCUUCCUGCAUCCGGGGCGGGGGCCUGAGUGCCCGUCCACCGCCCCGCCGGAACCUGCCCAGUGCCCGGCACUCCAGAACACCUCCCGAACAAAUGGGGUGUUUGCGAUGAGCGUGACAAGUUCUGGACACCAAUGAAUAUUUACAGACACUCCUCAACAGAGGAGCAAGUUUGGGGUUAAUCUGGAAGGUGGUGGGAGCCACUGAAGCUUCUAGAAGCACCACCGCGGAUGCUGCGAGACCUUUGCAUGGCUUCCACCCUGGAGCCCUCUGCCCCGUGCCAGUGUUAUGUUGUGAAUUCCCACCGUGAGCGCGUUUUGCCCGUGGAGGACGUUCCUGGCCCUUGGCGGGUUGCCUGGCAGGCUCUCUCGUGGAGCUCUCCGCCUGCGUUUCAGACCCCACGUCGCUGAGAUGACCUGGUCAGCAUCCGCUUCCCCACCAGACAGGCAGCGCUGUGAGGACAGGGUGUGCUGCCUGCCACGGCACACCCAGUGCCCAGGCGCUCGCUGGGCACGGCCGGGGAGCGGCUCUGCUCGGGCAGCUCCCUGCUGACCUCUGCUCGUCUCUGGCGCUGAACUUGCCGCGUUCCCCCGAGGCGCCCGCCCACCCAGGCCCUGAACCUGGCACAGGCCGGCCACUCCUCGCCUGGUCAUCCUCUCUUGCCGUGGUGCUGUGGCCCUUCUGAGGGGUCCCCUGCUGGAGUUGGGGACCCCUUCUGCUCCGCGUGCUGCGGUGACCCCCAGCGGCCCCCACAGUGACCUGCUCCUCCUGGUAGCCAUGCCUUCGUGAGCCCCACGCCGCACCGAUGGGUCUGUGGGACCAACAGAACACGCAUCUGCGAUGGCACGUCACUGUUGAAACUCGGUCCCAAAGGCCCUGGGCUUCUGCCUCUCUCAACUGUACUGCCGUGUGUGGCUCAGUGGAGGGGCCCUUAUGGGAGCACCGAGGCCCCAGCCAGCCACCUACACCAACACGCCAGGCCUGAGGGCCCUUCUUGGAAAGGGGACCUUCCAGCCCCAGCUGAGCCUUCGGAUGACGCAGCCCCAACCAACACCCUCGGAGACCCUGAGCUGGAACCACCCAGCCUGCAGCACCCCUCGAGAGUUUGGGAGCAGAGCCGAGUCUCCCCUGCUUCUUCCGAGGGGCUGCAGCAAAAUCCCCUGGAAGAGACCCCCACUCAGUCAUCCGAGUCGGACGUGGCUGCCAGUUCAAGGGGCUUCUCACGGGACCUGGACCGUGGCAGAUGCUCCGUCAAUGCCGGCUGAGUGAGCGAUGUCACAAUACAAAUCACCGUUUCGUUUCCGAUAUCUGUGAAUGGCACCAUAUUAUUGCUCUGGAGCGCAGGUGUUUCUGAGGAUUUGCUGGCGAGGGCCGCUGGAGCUGAUGAUGUAACUGCUGGCGUCCAGGGGUGCCCCAAGCACAGACUGAAGUCCCCUCGCCCCGUUUUUUUUGCCUGCUGCAAGACUUCACACAGGCCUCCGGGGGGCACCUUCCGACCUGGGUUCAAAUCCUGCCUCACUCCACGUGGGACACGCGGUGAGAUUCUGGGUGAGUUGGUUACCUCCGUGUCCCCACACACGGGAAUAAACAUUAGGACCUAAUUCAUGGGAUUGUCCUGAGAAGUAACUGAGUUAGCCCGAGAAGGAGUCUUAGAACACUGCUGCCUGCGUUUGCUGCUGGCGCUGUCACUACGGCCGGUUUAAGGACAUUUUUGGCUAAAGACCAGAGAAGCCUUCCUUUUCACCGCUGGGCCCCAAAUUAAUUAAUCAGUUAUUUUUAGAAGUGAGUCAAGUAAACGUUUCAGAACUCUCAGAAACCAAAAUUCAUUAGAAAGGCUUUCUAACUAACCAACAUUCUCCAUUUUCUAUUCAAUUAAAUAAGUGGACACCUAGGGCUGUUCGCUCCACCAAGCGUUUCUAAAGUUUCUUUCUGUCAUGCUUCAAAAGCUCCU